GCCAUGGCAGGGACACCUCCCACUAUCCCAGGGUGCUCUAAGGCUUAUCCAACCUAGCCUGGGACAUUUCCAGGGGCAGCCACAGCUUCUCUGGGAUGUAGGCCUGUACACUUGGAUCACCAUGGCACGUCAGCAUCCACCCAGGAAGCGAGCUGGAAGCAGGGAAUUCACUUGCUCUUUAAACGCAGGCGGUGUUAUUAAAGCCAAAAUGACUAAAAAUGGCUAAAAGCAGGAGAAGAGAGGCAUUAAAAUGGAAACGACUCCCUGCAAGUGCUUUGAUAUGACGAUAAAAGCGGGAUUCUGAUUGCGGCUCUCCCAGCGGUAUCCGCCACCAGCGCGGAAACCUCGGCGGCUGGGAGCCUUUGGAAGAGCUCCUGGCACACUGGGAAUGUGUGGAUUCAGGCCAGGGAGAGGCUGGGCCUUUGUGUUUGUUCAGGAAAUUAAUGAGGCUGUUGGAGAGGGUGGUGAGACCCUGGUUGCCCAGAGAAGUUGUGGCUGCCCCUGGAUUCCUGGAAGUGUCCGUGGCCAGGCUAAAGGAUCUAAAAAUACAGAAAAAUAUUAAAAAACAGUAGAAGCACCAAGAAACAAGAAGGAAAAAAUUCAGCACUGAAAAUGAGAAAGAAGAAAAAGCUUCAAGAAAAAGAUUUCCUCUUUCCAGUAAUACAAACCCCACAUUUAUUCACAUUUAUUCACAUCAGAUCUUUACCAGGGGAUUUAUGGAAGGAUUUAUUAAAGGUUUUAGUAUUUAUUGA